GUGGAUUAGAUACCCUGGUAGUCCACGCCCUAAACGAUGUCAACUAGCUGUUGGGGGUUAGAAUCCUUGGUAGCGCAGCUAACGCGUGAAGUUGACCGCCUGGGGAGUACGGCCGCAAGGUUAAAACUCAAAGGAAUUGACGGGGGCCCGCACAAGCGGUGGAUGAUGUGGAUUAAUUCGAUGCAACGCGAAGAACCUUACCUGCUCUUGACAUGUAACGAACUUGGUAGAGAUAUCUUGGUGCCCGAAAGGGAGCGUUAACACAGGUGCUGCAUGGCUGUCGACAGCU
rnacentral:rRNA from 1 species